AUUUUCUUGAAUUUGGUACAGUUCGUCUAAGUCCAUAAGUUUCCGAAAAUUCUUCAAGAGUUUUAGUUUUGUUUAUGAACCUCUAUACAUAAGGAAAACAAGGAGCAAUCAAUCCUCCUCUACGCAUGCCAUAAUUGUUAAAAGAGCCUCUGAUACAAAUAAUCCAAGAAGGGGAAUUUAAAGGAUGAAGAUACUUAAAAGUGUUGUUGGGAUGUUAAGAAGAUUCUAGAUUCAUUAUCUUCUCCUUUUUGUGAAUUCUGUUUAAAGUUGUUGUUUCUCUCUAUGUAGAAACAAGCUUAGACGUGAAUCCUAAGAACAAAAACGCUGUAGGAUAACGCAAUGGAGUAUUCCAAGUCUCCCUUCAAAUGCUAAGAACGUAGCUAUGGAACAAGUUACAAACCAGAAGGAAAGACAAUUCAUACUGAGGUCUGUAACGAGGAGGCGAAGCUUCGACAAGAAAUUGAUCUCGAAUACCAAAACACAGCUUGUAAGAAUUUGAGAGCUAAAUCAUCUAGGACGAGUUAGCUCGCCGCAUCUAUAAAUAGAGUUUAUCAAGAACUUGGGUAUUCUUCUUUUGAGAAAGAUGAGUUAAUCAUUGACGAGAGUGACACAGAGGACAAAAUUAGUUCUGAUACAUUUCGAAAAAUUAAGAGCAAGCAAGAGACUAUUGGUCUUGGCAGGUUAGAAUCAAAUGACUACAUUGCCGCAGACACGGUAAGUAAUAUUCUUGAACCAUCUAAAAAAUGAGACAUCAUUACUGCAUAUCAUAGUCGACAAGCUUGCCACAUCAUCUGUAGUCUAAAGAAAGAAACUUGUGUGGAUCACUUUUAAAUUAGAUGAAAUUCAGUUGUCAGUUAUUAUCAAUUGGAUAGUUAUGUGUUGACUUUAGAUUCUGUUAGUUCUCAUUGACAUUUUCUCUAUUUUACAUGUUAGGCCAAGGAGGUCAUAUUCAGACCAAAAAAUGAAAAAGCAGUUAUUAGUUAGAUUGUUCAAUGCCUCAAAGAAAGAAUUGAAACAAUAAUCAAGCUUCAAGUAGGAACCAUAAUUUUGGGAACCAAAAGAAAAAGCAAAGUUCAGCCCCGAAGUAUCCCGGUACAACGAAAAACGUAAAUCAUCCUCGAAGAACGAAGCUUCUUUACAUGAGCUGAGACCAAAACAUAUAGAAGAAACCAUUUCCAUGAACUCCAACAGACAUAAGUCUUCUAUAGACAAAGAAUCAUAUGACAAGGAAAAUGCUCACGGACAAAGCAGUGAAACUGGAUUUGUGACGAUGAAGAAGGCAAGAUUCAGAGAAGCAAGAGACCAACGUUCCAUGGCGAAACCAAAUGUGGGAGUUCUGGUGGAGUGCUCGAGAAGGAAAUAGUUAAUCUUAUACUAUGGUUUUUAUGAAACAAAGUUAUAAAAGUCAUAUUGAUAUAUAAAUUCAGUUAA